GGGGAGCUGUGCCUCUGCCAGGCGUCAUCAUGCUGCUCCUUGGUCUCUGUGGCUCUAAGUACGGGGUCUGGUUGCUGUUUUCCACUUCUUUUGAGGACUGAGUGUCUCUGCAGAGAUGGCUGUGGGCUUCUUUGGAUGCAUCGAAGGCCUUGUGAGAGAUGCUGGCUCUUAUGGCAGGAGCAGGUUCUGCCCCUUGCCUACUUUUCCUGGGCGGUCUUCUCUAUCUCCAGGGAGCCAGGGAAGCCCAGACCCCACACAGAGAGGGGAAUCAGGGAGGAACUCCCAGAAGGAGGUGGCUUGCAGGCAGAGAAGCCAGACUCAGUCCUGGUGCUGCUGCAACAGAGGAAGCAGGGGACACCGGAGCCUUGAGAAGGCAUCUCGGAGAGUGAGGGGCUCUCCUGACUGCCUCAGACAGGUCGAGCUCUCUUUCCCCACUCCAGCUCCCCUCUGCCAGGAGCUCCCCUAACCCCCACCGCCCACUCCCUAUCAUGUACCUGGCUCCUCAUCCUUGAAAUUCAUGGGAGAGAUCAGUGUGGUUUGCUGGCCCAUAGCACCUUUCUCUAAAGGCUGAACCCAAGCCAUCCUCGAGGGCUUCAGCCCUCUGCCCCCUCAGCCCAUUUUGUUUGACUGGGUUGACCCAACCCCCUGGCUGCUGGAGUGGGCUCAUGACCCAGGCCUGGCCAGUCAGAGUUUGGCUCAGGGAUGAUCCUCUGACCCAAGCCAGAAUCCCAAUCCUGGUCAUUUUCUACUGUCUCCUGGGGAUUUGCAGAAAGGACAUGCAGGGAGAGAAGCUACAUGCGAUGGAAGCCAACACAGGAGGGCAGGACUGAGAGAUGGGAGGACAUUCCUGACAAAAAUUAUCUCAACACCUAAAUUCACCUGUGCCUGAAGUCAACCACUCCCAGACUUUCUCGUUAGGCAAAGCAAUACAAUCUUUCGAUUUGUGUAUGCUUGUUACUCUGUGUGGAGUUUCUAAGACCUGCAACCACAAAAGUCCUGCUUCAUUGAAGAUCUUGGCUGAAACACCUCAGAGGAGCCUUCCCUGGUCACUUUACGCUCUGGUCUAAAUGUUUAUGUCCCCCCCGUCAAAUGCAUAUGUUGAAAUCCUAACCCUGAAGGUGAUGGCAUUAGGAGGCAGGGCCUUUGGGAGGAGAUUAGGUCGUGAGGAUGAACCCCUCAUGAAUGGGAUUAGUGCUUCCACAAAAGAGACCCCAGAGAGCUCCCUCACCCCUCCACCAUAUGAGGACACAGAGACGGCUGUCUGUGAAACAAGAAAUGGGCUCUCACCAGACGCCAAAUCUGCCAGCACCUUGAUCUUGGACUUCCAGCCUCGAGAACGCCUGGUGGUGAUGAAACCAAGGCUGCAGGAGGGGAAGUAACCAGCCCAGGAUCCUGCAAGUGUUGCUGGAGCUUCACUAGCACUCAGGCUGUCUGAUUCAGGGACAUACCAGGGAGGGUGUGGAUGCUGUAGAACCUCCAACAGGACGCCAGUGUCCUCUUAGAGGAGGGUACGUUCAUAUGCCUACUUUGGGGGUAAGUUUGGGAAUUUCUGCUAAACAUUAAAAACACACAGCCUGUGAUCCCAGCAGUGCUACUAGAGAGUUCUCACUCCCGGGCACAAGGAAACCCAUCCCUGCAGGGGGUUUGCCUAUGACCGAGAACUGGCUAACAGCCAAAUGUGCCUGGGAGCAGGGUAACACAGUUGUGGUGGUGUGUCCAUGCUCUGCAGUACCACACAGCAGAUAAAGAAUUGGGUGCAGUGUGUCCUGACAUGGAAAAGUUUCCAAGACAUGUUGUUAUGCGGUAAAAGAAAGCAGAGCAUUGCAUGUGGCAUGAUAAUUUCAUAUAAGCCACAACUACGCCAGCGCUUAUAAGUGUAAAGAAGAGAAAGAGAAUGUUCUAGAAGGAUAUAUGCUAAACUGACAGAGAUGGGGAGGGGACCAGGACUGGAGGUAGUGGUCAAAGAAGGCCUA
rnacentral:lncRNA from 1 species